GUGGGGAAUAUUGGACAAUGGGCGAAAGCCUGAUCCAGCCAUGCCGCGUGUGUGAAGAAGGUCUUCGGAUUGUAAAGCACUUUAAGUUGGGAGGAAGGGCAGUAAGUUAAUACCUUGCUGUUUUGACGUUACCGACAGAAUAAGCACCGGCUAACUUCGUGCCAGCAGCCGCGGUAAUACGAAGGGUGCAAGCGUUAAUCGGAAUUACUGGGCGUAAAGCGCGCGUAGGUGGUUUUGUAAGUUGGAGGUGAAAUCCCCGGGCUCAACCUGGGAACUGCCUCCAAAACUGCAUGACUAGAGUACGGUAGAGGGUAGUGGAAUUUCCUGUGUAGCGGUGAAAUGCGUAGAUAUAGGAAGGAACACCAGUGGCGAAGGCGACUACCUGGACUGAUACUGACACUGAGGUGCGAAAGCGUGGGGAGCAAACAGGAUUAGAAACCCUUGAAGUCC
rnacentral:rRNA from 1 species